CCUACGGGGGGCUGCAGUGAGGAAUAUUGGUCAAUGGUCGGGAGACUGAACCAGCCAAGCCGCGUGAGGGAGGAAGGUACAGAGUAUCGUAAACCUCUUUUGUCAGGGAACAAAGGCGGGGACGUGUCCCCGGAUGAGUGUACCUGAAGAAAAAGCAUCGGCUAACUCCGUGCCAGCAGCCGCGGUAAUAAGGGGGAUGCGAGCGUUAUCCGGUUUUAUUGGGUUUAAAGGGUGCGCAGGCGGUCUUUUAAGUCAGCGGUAAAAGCCCGGGGCGCAACCCCGGCGCGCCGUUGAAACUGGCAGUCUCGAGUGGGAGAGAAGUAUGCGGAAUGCGCGGUGUAGCGGUGAAAUGCAUAGAUAGCGCGCAGAACUCCGAUUGCGAAGGCAGCAUGCCGGCUCCACACUGACGCUGAGGCACGAAAGCGUGGGUAUCGAACAGGAUUAGAUACCCUAGUAGUC
rnacentral:rRNA from 1 species